CAGGGAAUAUUGCACAAUGGGCGAAAGCCUGAUGCAGCAACGCCGCGUGCGGGAUGAAGGCCUUCGGGUUGUAAACCGCUUUCAGUAGGGAAGAAAAUGACGGUACCUACAGAAGAAGCCCCGGCCAACUACGUGCCAGCAGCCGCGGUAACACGUGGGGGGCAAGCGUUGUCCGGAUUUAUUGGGCGUAAAGGGCUCGUAGGCGGCUUGACAAGUCGGGCGUGAAAGCCCGGGGCUUAACCCCGGGAUGCCGUUCGAAACUGUCAUGGCUAGUUUCCGGUAGAGGUGAGUGGAAUUCUCGGUGUAGCGGUGAAAUGCGCAGAUAUCGAGAGGAACACCAGUAGCGAAGGCGGCUCACUGGGCCAGUAAAGACGCUGAGGAGCGAAAGCGUGGGGAGCAAACAGGAUUAGAUACCCUGGUAGUCCACGCUGUAAACGUUGAACACUAGGUGUGGUGGACAGAUCCAUGUCUGCCGUGCCGAAGCUAACGCAUUAAGUGUUCCGCCUGGGGAGUACGGCCGCAAGGCUA
rnacentral:rRNA from 1 species